CCUACGGGUGGCUGCAGUGGGGAAUAUUGGGCAAUGGAGGCAACUCUGACCCAGCAACGCCGCGUGAAUGAUGAAGGUCUUCGGAUUGUAAAGUUCUGUGAUGGGGGAUGAACACAAUGACGGUACCCCAAUAGCAAGCCACGGCUAACUACGUGCCAGCAGCCGCGGUAAUACGUAGGUGGCAAGCGUGAUCCGGAUUUACUGGGUGUAAAGGGAGCGUAGACGGCAGGGCAAGUCUGAAGUGAAAUGCCGGGGCUUAACCCCGGAACUGCUUUGGAAACUGUGCAGCUAGAGUGCAGGAGAGGUAAGUGGAAUUCCUAGUGUAGCGGUGAAAUGCGUAGAUAUUAGGAGGAACACCAGUGGCGAAGGCGGCUUACUGGACUGUAACUGACGUUGAGGCUCGAAAGCGUGGGGAGCAAACAGGAUUAGAUACCCGAGUAGUC
rnacentral:rRNA from 1 species